GUUUCCUACGAAGAUCAAUAGAAUACUUUCGUUCUUUUGAGGGUGAAUGUUGCCCAUGCGGAGUAAUUUAUGGAGACUUGAACUGAGGAACA